AGAGUUUGAUCAUGGCUCAGAUUGAACGCUGGCGGCAUGCCUUACACAUGCAAGUCGAACGGCAACGCGGGGCAACCUGGCGGCGAGUGGCGAACGGGUGAGUAAUAUAUCGGAACGUACCCUGGAGUGGGGGAUAACGUAGCGAAAGUUACGCUAAUACCGCAUACGAUCUAAGGAUGAAAGUGGGGGCUCGCAAGACCUCAUGCUCCUGGAGCGGCCGAUAUCUGAUUAGCUAGUUGGUGAGGUAAAGGCUCACCAAGGCUACGAUCAGUAGCUGGUCUGAGAGGACGAUCAGCCACACUGGAACUGAGACACGGUCCAGACUCCUACGGGAGGCAGCAGUGGGGAAUUUUGGACAAUGGGCGCAAGCCUGAUCCAGCAAUGCCGCGUGAGUGAAGAAGGCCUUCGGGUUGUAAAGCUCUUUUGUCAGGGAAGAAACGGCAGGAGCUAAUAUCUCUUGCUAAUGACGGUACCUGAAGAAUAAGCACCGGCUAACUACGUGCCAGCAGCCGCGGUAAUACGUAGGGUGCAAGCGUUAAUCGGAAUUACUGGGCGUAAAGCGUGCGCAGGCGGUUUUGUAAGUUUGUCGUGAAAUCCCCGGGCUUAACCUGGGAAUUGCGAUGAAGACUGCAAGGCUAGAAUCUGGCAGAGGGGGGUAGAAUUCCACGUGUAGCAGUGAAAUGCGUAGAGAUGUGGAGGAACACCGAUGGCGAAGGCAGCCCCCUGGGUCAAGAUUGACGCUCAUGCACGAAAGCGUGGGGAGCAAACAGGAUUAGAUACCCUGGUAGUCCACGCCCUAAACGAUGUCUACUAGUUGUCGGGUUUUAAUUAACUUGGUAACGCAGCUAACGCGUGAAGUAGACCGCCUGGGGAGUACGGUCGCAAGAUUAAAACUCAAAUGAAUUGACGG
rnacentral:rRNA from 1 species